rnacentral:rRNA from 1 species
GAUUAUGGCUCAGGAUGAACGCUAGCGGCAGGCUUAACACAUGCAAGUCGAGGGGCAUCGGGAGUAGCAAUACGUUGACCGGCGACCGGCGCAAGGGUGCGUAACGCGUGAGCAACAUGCCCGUAUCAGGGGGAUAAGUCCAUGGAAACGUGGUCUAAGUACCCCAUAGUAAUUAUGUAAGGCAUCUUAUAUAAUUUAAAGCUUUGGUGGAUACGGAUUGGCUCGCGUGACAUUAGCUGGAUGGUAAGGUAACGGCUUACCAUGGCUACGAUGUCUAGGGGUUCUGAGAGGAAGGUCCCCCACACUGGAACUGAGACACGGUCCAGACUCCUACGGGAGGCAGCAGUGAGGAAUAUUGGACAAUGGAUGGAAAUCUGAUCCAGCCAUGCCGCGUGACCAGGAAGACGGCCCUAUGGGUUGUAAACUGCUUUUGUAUGGGAGCAAUAAGGGCUACGUGUAGUCCGAUGAGAGUACCAUACGAAUAAGCACCGGCUAACUCCGUGCCAGCCGCCGC